GAAAGGUGAUGAAUAAAAUACCAAGAGAAACUAACCCCAGGACGGCAGGAAGAGUUCGGGAUUCACCCCUAGUGAAACUGAAAAUUAUUUAAAACAACAAACAACCAUUGACCAUUUAAAGCCUCUGAAAUGGUCCUAAGGGCAAACAGCAAAUGAAGAAACAUCUGCUUUAAAAAAUCUGUGAAAACUCUUGCAUCAGAAUGCCAGAGUCUAUGGUAUUUAAACCAAACCUCUCCCUUUGUUCAACAAGACAGACUCCACUCCAGACUGCUGCAACCAAGAACCUCUCUCUUCCCAAGAUGAAGUCUCACUGUGUCAUCCAAGCUGGAGUACAGUGGGAUGAUCAUAACUCACUGCAGCCUCAAACUUCUGGCCUCAAGCAAUCCUCCUGCCUUUGUCUUCUGAGUACCUGGGACUACAGGUUCAGCAGUACAUGUGAAGAUUUGUUAUAUAGGAAACUCAUGUCAUGGGGAUUUGUCGUACAUUUCAUCACCCACUCAGGUGUUAAGCCUAGUACCCAAUAG
rnacentral:lncRNA from 13 species